CGUCUCCUCCUACAUCAUGAGCGCACUCUAGAAUGAUUCCACACGGCGGCGAAUGACUGACAGGGAGACCAAGGCUUGGUUAAAGGAGAAGAGGCGGGAACUGCGCUCUGGAGGCGGAUAGCAGGAGCUGUCAAGUUUGGUGGACGACGCAAGACGGUCAGGCAUUCGGAAAGUGCUCACUGCCGGGAUUCUGUUUUUGUCUUACCUGCUUUCUGGGACCGCUCUUCACCGGACUCGAACCACCGUCUUCGUGGUCAACUCCUCUCUGCAUCUCAAGCCCGCCGACGUACGUGGCACGCUAAAGGGACAAACUGGUUGCAGCCAGAAUGCCGUCCAUACGGAGUGUUCCCGGUGUCCUGUCAGCGUUGUGUGUAUCGUCAGUCUGUCUUCCCCGCAAGCCCUCUGGUGUGUGCAUUCGGUCAUCCUCAGUGUCUGUCAUCCCACCUGCCACAAAGGAUCAUCAGUUCCACCAAACUCCAUUCACUU